rnacentral:tRNA from 1 species
CGGAGUGGUAGUUCAGUUGGUUAGAAUACCGGCCUGUCACGCCGGGGGUCGCGGGUUCGAGUCCCGUCCGCUCCGU